UUUAAAWGUAAUUUUUAUACUAAAUUAUUAAUAGUUAUGAUCUUUAAAAUUAAAGAAUUUGGCGGUAUUUUAGUCUAUUCAGAGGAACCUGUCAUAUAAUUGAUAUUCCACAAUUUAAUUGACUUACUUUAUUAGUUUAUAUAUCGUCGUAGUUUGAAUAUUUUUAUAGAAUAUUAAUAUUCAAGAUUUUUGAUAAUAAAAUAAAUCAGAUCAAGGUGUAGCUUAUAGGUAAGUAAUGGUGGGUUACAAUAAAAUUAUUUAUAUGGAUUUAAAAUUUUAAAUUUUAUUGAAAGUGGAUUUGAUAGUAAAUUUAAUUAAUUAAUUAAGUUGAUUUAAGCUCUAAAAUAUGU
rnacentral:rRNA from 1 species